GGAAGUAAAUGUCGUAACAAGGUCUCCGUAGGUGAACCUGCGGAGGGAUCAUUACAGAGUUCUCGCCCUCGCGGGUAGAUCUCCCACCCACUGUUAUCGUUACUGUGUUGCUUUGGCGGGCCGCCGGGCCCCGCUCGGCCGCCGGCUCCGGCUGGCGCGCGCCCGCCAGAGGCCCAGCAAACUCUGAAUGUUAGUGUCGUCUGAGUACUAUAUAAUAGUUAAAACUUUCAACAACGGAUCUCUUGGUUCUG
rnacentral:misc_RNA from 1 species